UUUUUUCCUGAAUCAAGGACAAUGCCAGGCUCUUGAGGAUGGAGGCCCUCUCUACAUGAAUUCCCAUAUGAGGCUCUUCUAUUUCAACAGCCCCCAAAUUGGAAUGUAUUUUGAAGCCCCCCAUACAGCCCCCUGUUGCCAUUGACCCUAAAUCUGCAGGCACAGGAAAUUGGUCCACACCCUGCUCUGUAUGGCUGCCCUGCCCCCAGCAGGAAGUGGCUGGCUCAGGAGGUGGUGUCUCAGAUUCCAAGGCAGAAGUCACUGAGAAAUGGUUCAGUGACCAGGGUCAAGGGUUGGCCAUUUCUAAGGCUGAGUGUGGCAGAGGGCACCGGGAGCUUGUCCUGCUGGUGGAGCUGGGGAACCCCAGGACCCGUGGGCCUCAAACCUGGGCCAGGAGUGAGGAGCUGGCCUCCCCUAGGCUGAACUUGACUCACAGACUGGUUUGGUGUGGGCCAUCCAGUUGAAAGGAGUUGUCAAUGUUUAAUAUUUGCUAGGCUUCACAUAAAAUUUAAACUUGGAAUAUUUUUCUGAAAAUGUGGAUGAUCAGGACCAAGUUAUUCU
rnacentral:lncRNA from 1 species